rnacentral:rRNA from 1 species
UCGUCACACUAUCAUUAACUGAAUCCAUAGGUUAAUGAGGCGAACCGGGGGAACUGAAACAUCUAAGUACCCCGAGGAAAAGAAAUCAACCGAGAUUCCCCCAGUAGCGGCGAGCGAACGGGGAGGAGCCCAGAGCCUGAAUCAGCAUGUGUGUUAGUGGAAGCGUCUGGAAAGGCGCGCGAUACAGGGUGACAGCCCCGUACACAAAAGCGCAUGUGCUGUGAGCUCGAUGAGUAGGGCGGGACACGUGGUAUCCUGUCUGAAUAUGGGGGGACCAUCCUCCAAGGCUAAAUACUCCUGACUGACCGAUAGUGAACCAGUACCGUGAGGGAAAGGCGAAAAGAACCCCGGCGAGGGGAGUGAAAAAGAACCUGAAACCGUGUACGUACAAGCAGUGGGAGCACCCUUUGGGUGUGACUGCGUACCUUUUGUAUAAUGGGUCAGCGACUUAUAUUCUGUAGCAAGGUUAACCGAAUAGGGGAGCCGGAGGGAAACCGAGUCUUAACCGGGCGUUAAGUUGCAGGGUAUAGACCCGAAACCCGGUGAUCUAGCCAUGGGCAGGUUGAAGGUUGGGUAACACUAACUGGAGGACCGAACCGACUAAUGUUGAAAAAUUAGCGGAUGACCUGUGGCUGGGGGUGAAAGGCCAAUCAAACCGGGAGAUAGCUGGUUCUCCCCGAAAGCUAUUUAGGUAGCGCCUCGUGAAUUCAUCUCCGGGGGUAGAGCACUGUUUCGGCUAGGGGGCCAUCCCGGCUUACCAACCCGAUGCAAACUGCGAAUACCGGAGAAUGUUAUCACGGGAGACACACGGCGGGUGCUAACGUCCGUCGUGAAGAGGGAAACAACCCAGACCGCCAGCUAAGGUCCCAAAGUCAUGGUUAAGUGGGAAACGAUGUGGGAAGGCCCAGACAGCCAGGAUGUUGGCUUAGAAGCAGCCAUCAUUUAAAGAAAGCGUAAUAGCUCACUGGUCGAGUCGGCCUGCGCGGAAGAUGUAACGGGGCUAAACCAUGCACCGAAGCUGCGGCAGCGACACUGUGUGUUGUUGGGUAGGGGAGCGUUCUGUAAGCCUGUGAAGGUGU